GUGGGGAAUCUUGCGCAAUGGGCGAAAGCCUGACGCAGCCAUGCCGCGUGAAUGAUGAAGGUCUUAGGAUUGUAAAAUUCUUUCACCGGGGACGAUAAUGACGGUACCCGGAGAAGAAGCUCCGGCUAACUUCGUGCCAGCAGCCGCGGUAAUACGAAGGGGGCUAGCGUUGCUCGGAAUUACUGGGCGUAAAGGGCGCGUAGGCGGACAGCUUAGUCAGAGGUGAAAGCCCAGGGCUCAACCUUGGAAUUGCCUUUGAUACUGGCUGUCUUGAGUUUGGGAGAGGUCAGUGGAAUUCCGAGUGUAGAGGUGAAAUUCGUAGAUAUUCGGAAGAACACCAGUGGCGAAGGCGACUGACUGGACAAGUAUUGACGCUGAGGUGCGAAAGCGUGGGGAGCAAACAGGAUUAGAUACCCCAGUAGUCC
rnacentral:rRNA from 1 species